rnacentral:lncRNA from 1 species
UAAGUCACAUUGCUUGCAAGGCUUGUGUGUGAUGUUGUAUUACCGAGUGGGCCCCGAGAUACCUCUCCGUCACACGGAGUGACAAAUCCCAGUCUCGAUCCAUACUAACUCAACGAACACCUUCGGAGAUACCUGUAGAGCAUCUUUAUAGUCACCCAGUUACGUUGCGACGUUUGAUACACACAAAGCAUUCCUCCGGUGUCCGUGAGUUAUAUGAUCUCAUGGUCAUAGGAACAAAUACUUGACACGCAGAAAACAGUAGCAACAAAAUGACACGAUCAACAUGCUACGUCUAUUAGUUUGGGUCUGGUCCAUCACAUGAUUCUCCUAAUGAUGUGAUCCCGUUAUCAAGUGACAACACUUGUCUAUGGCCAGGAAACCUUGACCAUCUUUGAUCAACGAGCUAGUCAACUAGAGGCUUACUAGGGACAGUGUUUUGUCUAUGUAUCCACACAAGUAUUGUGUUUCCAAUCAAUACAAUUAUAGCAUGGAUAAUAAACGAUUAUCAUGAACUAAGAAAUAUAAUAAUAACUAAUUUAUUAUUGCCUCUAGGGCAUAUUUCCAACAGUCUCCCACUUGCACUAGAGUCAAUAAUCUAGUUCACAUCACCAUGUGAUUCCAACGAAUCCAACACCCAUAUAGUUAUGGGGUGUGAUCACGUCUUGCUCGUGAGAGAGGUUUUAGUCAACGGUUCUGAAACUUUCAGAUCCGUGCGUUCUUUACAAAUCUUUAUGUCAUCUUAUAGAUGCUGCUACUACGUGCUAUUCGGAAAUGCUCCAAAUAUCUACUCUACUAUACGAAUCCGUUUCACUACUCAUAGUUAUUCGGAUUAGUGUCAAAGCUUGCAUCGACGUAACCCUUUACGACGAACUCUUUAACCACCUCCAUAAUCGAGAAAAAUUCCUUAGUCCAUUAGUUACUAAGGAUAAAUUUUAACCGCUGCUAGUGAUUUAAUCAUGGAUCACUCUCUGUACCUCUCAACAUACUUUGAGUCAAGGCACACAUCAGGUGCGGUACACAGCAUGGCAUACUUUAGAUUCUACGGCUAAGGCAUAGAAGACGACCCUCGUCUAUUCUCUUUAUUCUGCCGUGGUCGGGUUUUGAGUCUUACUCAAAUUCACACCUUACAACGCAACCAAGAACUCCUUCUUUGCUGAUCUAUUUUGAACUCCUUCAAAAACUUGUCAAGGCCUGCAUCUUAUUGAAACUUUCAUUAAGCGCUUUUGAUCUAUCUCCAUAGAUCUUUGAUGCUCAACGUUCCAGUAGCGCAAUCCAGGUAUUCCUUUGAAAACUCCUUUCAAACAACCUUGUAUUCUUUACAGAAAUUCUACAUCACUUCUGAUCCACAAUAUGUCACCCACAUAUACUUAUCAGAAAUUCUAUAGUGCUCCCACUCACUUCUUUGGAAAUACAAGUUUCUCAUAAACCUUGUACAAACCCAAAAUCUUUGAUCAUCUCAUCAAAGUGUAUAUUCCAACUCCGAGAUGCUUGCACCAGUCCAUUGAAGGAUUACUGGAGCUUGCAUACUUGCUAGUAUCUUUAGGAUCGACAAAACCUCCUGGUUGUAUCACAUACAAUGUUUGCUCAAGGAAACCGUCGAGGAAACAAUGUUUUGACAUCCUACGUGCAAUAUUUCAUAAAUAAUGCAUCAACAACUAACAUAAUUCUAACAGACCUUUAGCAUCGCUACGAGUGAGAAAGUCUCAUCAUAGUCAACUGUUUGAUCUUGUCGAAAACAUCUUUGCGACAAGUCGAGAUUUUCUUAAUAGUGACUUAUCACCGUCAUCGUCUGUUUUCCUUUAAAGAUCCAUCUUUACUCAAUAGUCCUAUGACCAUCAAGUAAUUCUUCCAAAGUCUACACUUUGUUUUCAUCCAUGGAUCCUCUCUCGGAUUUCAUGGCUUCCAGCCAUUUGUCGGAAUCUGGGCCCACCAUCGCUUUCUCCAUAACUCGUAGGUUCACUGUUGCUCAACAACAUGACCUCCAAGACAGGGUUACCGUACUACUCUGCAGCAGUACGCGACCUUGUCGACCUACGAGGUUUGUAGUAACUUGAUUCGAAGCUCAAUGAUCACCAUCAUCAUCUUCCACUUCAAUUGGUGUAGGCGCCACAGGAACAACUUCCUGCGUCUUGCUACACACUGGUUGAAGUGAUGGUUCAAUAACCUCAUCAAGUUCUACUACCCUCCCACUCAAUUCUUUCGAGAGAAACCUUUCCUCGAGAAAGGAUCUGUUUCUAGAAACAAACACUUUGCUUUCGGAUCUGAGAUAGGAGAUGUACCCAACUGUUUUGGAUACCCUAUGAAGAAGCAUUUAUCCGCUUUGGGUUCGAGCUUAUCAGACUGAAACUUUUUCACAUAAGUGUCGAAACCCCAAACUUUCAAGAAACGACAGUUUAGAUUUCUCUAAACCUCAGUCUCUACUGUGUCAUCUCAACGGAAAUACGCGGUGCCCUAUUUAAAGUGAGUGCGGUUGUCUCUAAUGCAUAAUCCAUAAACGAUAGUGGUAAUUCGAUAAGAGACAUCAUAGUAUGCACCAUACCAAAUAGUGCGUGGCUAUGACGUUCAGACACAUCAUCACACUAUGAUGUUCCAGGUGGCAUGAACUGCAAAACAAUUUCCACAUUGUCUUAACUGCGUACCAAAACUCGUAACUCAGAUAUUCAUUUCCAUGAUCAUAUCGUAGACAGUUUAUCCUCUUGUUACGACGAACUUCACUCUGAAACGGAAUUGAACUUUUCAACAUUUCAGACUUGUGAUUCAUUAAGUAAAUACUCCUGUAUCGACUCAAAUCGUCAGUGAAGUAAGAACAUAAUGAUAUCCACUGCGUGCCUCAGCACCCAUUGGACUGCAUACAUCAAAAUGUAUCACUUCCAACAAGUUACUAUCUUAUUUCAUCUCAAUGAAAACAAGGCCUUGCUCAUGUGGUAUGAUUUGCAUGUCACUAGUGAUUCGAAAUCAGGUGAGUACAAAGAUCCAUCAGCAUGGAGGCUCUUCAUGCAAUUUAUACUAACAUGACUCAAGCGGCAGUGCCACAAGUAAGUGGUACUAUCAUCAUUAACUCGUAUCUUUUGGCACCAAUAUCAUGAACAUGUGUAACACUACGAUCGAGAUUCAAUAAACCAUUGAAGGUGAAUAUUCAAGAAAAUAGAGUAACCAUUAUUCUCUUUAAAUAAAUAAUCGUAUUGCAAUAAACACGAUCCAAUCAUGUUCAUGCUUAACGCAAGCACCAAAUAACAAUUAGUUAGGUUUAACACCAAUCCCGAUGGUAGAGGGAGCGUGCGACGUUUGAUCAUAUCAACCUUGGAAACACUUCCAACACGUAUCGUCACCUCGCCUUUAGCUAGUCUCCGUUUAUGCCGUAGCUUUCAUUUCGUGUUACUAAUCACUUAGCAACCGAACCGGUAUCCAAUACCCUCAUGCUACUAGGAGUACUAGUAAAGUACACAUCAACAUCAUGUAUAUAAAAUAUACUUCUUUCGACUUUUGCCAGCUUUCUUAUCUACCAAGUAUCUAGAGUUGCUCCGCCUCAGUGACUGUUCCCCUCAUUACAGAAGCACUUAGUCUCGGGUUUGGGUUUAAUCUUGGGUCUCUUCAUUAGUGCAGCAACUGUUUUGCCGUUUCGCGAAGUAUCCCUUCUAGCCCUUGCCUUUCUUGAAACUUAGUGGUUUUACAAACCAUCAACUAUUGACGCUCCUUCUUGAUCUCUACUUUCGCAGUGUCAAACAUCGCGAAUCGCUCAAGGAUCAUUGUAUCUAUCCUUGAUAUGUUAUAGUUCAUCACGAAGCUCUCAUAGCUUGGUGGCAGUGACUUUGGAGAACCAUCACUAUCUCAUCUGGAAGAUUAACUCCCACUUGAUUCAAGUGAUUGUCGUACUCAGACAAUCUGAGCACAUGCUCAAUGAUUGAGCUUUUCUCCUUUACUUCGUGGACAAAGAAUCUUGUUGGAGGUCUCGUACCUCUUAACAAGGGCACAAGCAUGAAAUCACAAUUUCAUCUCUUUAGAACAUCACUUAUGUUCACGYGACGUUUUACAAUGUUUUCGGCGCCUUGCUUCUAAGCCAUUAAGUAUUUUGCACUGAACUAUCGUGUAGUCAUCAGAAACGUGUAUGUCGGAUGUUCAUAGCAUCCACAGACGACGCUCGAGGUGCAGCACACCGAGUGGUGCAUUAAGGACAUAAGCCUUCUGUGCAGCAACGAGGACAAUCCUCUUCAAAGUUUGCUACUAUCAACUUUCAACUAGAUUUUCUCUAGGAACAUAUAAAAAAACAGUAGAGCUAUAGCGCAAGCUACAUCGUAAUUCGCAAAGACCAUUAGACUAUGUUCAUGACAAUUAGUUCAAAUAAUCAUAUUACUUAAGAACUCCCACUCAAAAAGUACAUCUCUCUAGUCAUUUGAGUGGUUCAUGAUCCACUUACACUAUCCCAAGUCCGAUCAUCACGUGAGUUGAGUAUAGUUUCAGUGGUAAGCAUCCCUAUGCUAAUCAUAUCAACUAUAUGAUUCAUGAUCGACCUUUCGGUCUCAUGUGUUCCGAGGCCAUGUCUGCACAUGCUAGGCUCGUCAAGCUUAACCCGAGUGUUCCGCGUGCGCAACUGUUUUGCACCCGUUGUAUGUGAACGUUGAGUCUAUCACACCCGAUCAUCACGUGGUGUCUCGAAACGACGAACUGUAGCAACGGUGCACAGUCGGGGAGAACACAAUUUUGUCUUGAAAUUUUAGUGAGAGAUCACCUCAUAAUGCUACCGUCGUUCUAAGCAAAAUAAGGUGCAUAAAAGGAUUAACAUCACAUGCAGUUCAUAAGUGACAUGAUAUGGCCAACAUCACGUGCUUCUUGAUCUCCAUCACCAAAGCACCGGCACGAUCUUCUUGUCACCGGCGCCACACCAUGAUCAUCUAUCAACGUGUUGCCAUCGGGGUUGUCGUGCUACUCAUGCUAUUACUACCAAAGCUACAUCCUAGCAAAAUAGUAAACACAUCUGCAAGCACAAACGUUAGUAUAAAGACAACCCUAUGGCUCCUGCCGGUUGCCGUACCAUCGACGUGCAAGUCGAUAUUUUUAUUACAACAUGAUCAUCUCAUACAUCCAAUAUAUCACAUCACAUCGUUGGCCAUAUCACAUCACAAGUAUACCCUGCAAAAACAAGUUAGACGUCCUCUAAUUUUGUUGUUGCAUGUUUUACGUGGUGACCAAGGGCAUCUAGUAGGAUCGCAUCUUACUUACGCAAACACCACAACGGAGAUAUAUGAGUUGCUAUUUAACCUCAUCCAAGGACCUCCUCGGUCAAAUCCGAUUCAACUAAAGUUGGAGAAACCGUCACUUGCCAGUCAUCUUUGAGCAAAGGGGGUUACUCGUAACGAUGAAACCAGUCUCUCGUAAGCGUACGAGUAAUGUCGGUCCAAGCCGCUUCGAUCCAACAAUACCGCGGAAUCAAGAAAAGACUAAGGAGGGCAGCAAAACACACAUCACCGCCCACAAAAACUUUUGUGUUCUACUCGAGAAGACAUCUACGCAUGAACCUAGCUCAUGAUGCCACUGUUGGGGAACGUCGCAUGGGAAACAAAAAAUUUCCUACGCGCACGAAGACCUAUCAUGGUGAUGUCCACCUACGAGAGGGGAUGAGUGAUCUACAUACCCUUGUAGACCGUACAUCAGAAGCGUUAGAGAACGCGGUUGAUGUAGUGGAACGUCCUCACGUCCCUCGAUCCGCCCCGCGAACAAUCCCGCGAUCAGUCCCACGAUCUAGUACAGAACGGACGGCACCUCCGCGUUCAGCACACGUACAGCUCGACGAUGAUCUCGGCCUUCUUGAUCCAGCAAGAGAGACGGAGAGGUAGAAGAGUUCUCCGGCAGCGUGACGGCGCUCCGGAGGUUGGUGAUGACCUUGUCUCAGCACGGCUUCGCCCGAGCUCCGCAGAAACGCGAUCUAGAGGAAAAACCGUGGAGGUAUGUGGUCGGGCUGCCGUGGAAAAGUCGUCUCAAAUCAACCCUAAAACCUCCGUAUAUAUAGGUGGGAGGGAGGGGGCCUUGCCUUGGGGUCCAAGGACCCUCAAGGGGUCGGCCGAGCCAAGGGGGAGGACUCUCCCCCCCCCCAAACCGAGUUGGACUAGGUUUGGUGGGAGGGAGUCCCCCUCCCUUCCCACCUCCUCCCUCUUUUUUUUCCUUUUUCUUUGAUUUCUUAUCCUUGGCGCAUAGGCCCCUUUUGGGCUGUCCCACCAGCCCACUAAGGGCUGGUGCGCCACCCUCAUGGCCUAUGGGCUUCCCCGGGGUGGGUUGCCCCCCCCCCCCCGGUGAACUCCCGGAACCCAUUCGUCAUUCCCGGUAACUCCGAAAACCUUCCGGUAAUCGAAUGAGGUCAUCCUAUAUAUCAAUCUUCGUUUCCGGACCAUUCCGGAAACCCUCGUGACGUCCGUGAUCUCAUACGGGACUCCGAACAACAUUCGUUAACCAACCAUAUAACUCAAAUACGCAUAAAACAACGUCGAACCUUAAGUGUGCAGACCCUGCGGGUUCGAGAACUAUGUAGACAUGACCCGAGAGACUCCUCGGUCAAUAUCCAAUAGCGGGACCUGGAUGCCCAUAUUGGAUCCUACAUAUUCUACGAAGAUCUUAUCGUUUGAACCUCAGUGCCAAGGAUUCAUAUAAUCCCGUAUGUCAUUCCCUUUGUCCUUCGUUAUGUUACUUGCCUGAGAUUCGAUCGUCAGUAUCCGCAUACCUAUUUCAAUCUCGUUUACCGGCAAGUCUCUUUACUCGUUCCGUAAUACAAGAUCCCGCAACUUACACUAAGUCACAUUGUUUGCAAGGCUUGUGUGUGAUGUUGUAUUACCGAGUGGGCCCCGAGAUACCUCUCCGUCACACGGAGUGACAAAUCCCAGUCUCGAUCCAUACUAACUCAACUAACACCUUCGGAGAUACCUGUAGAGCAUCUUUAUAGUCACCCAGUUACGUUGCGACGUUUGAUACACACAAAGCAUUCCUCAGGUGUCAGUGAGUUAUAUGAUCUCAUGGUCAUAGGAACAAAUACUUGACACGCAGAAAACAGUAGCAACAAAAUGACACGAUCAACAUGCUACGUCUAUUAGUUUGGGUCUAGUCCAUCACAUGAUUCUUCUAAUGAUGUGAUCCCGUUAUCAAGUAACAACACUUGCC